UACGUAGGGGGCAAGCGUUAUCCGGAUUUAUUGGGUUUAAAGGGAGCGUAGGUGGAUUGUUAAGUCAGUUGUGAAAGUUUGCGGCUCAACCGUAAAAUUGCAGUUGAAACUGGCAGUCUUGAGUACAGUAGAGGUGGGCGGAAUUCGUGGUGUAGCGGUGAAAUGCUUAGAUAUCACGAAGAACUCCGAUUGCGAAGGCAGCAUGCCGGCUCCACACUGACGCUGAGGCACGAAAGCGUGGGUAUCGAACAGG
rnacentral:rRNA from 1 species